GCUAGUAAUCGCAGAUCAGAAUGCUGCGGUGAAUACGUUCCCGGGUCUUGUACACACCGCCCGUCACACCAUGGGAGUCGGAAAUGCCCGAAGCCGGUGACCAAACCAAUAAGGAAGGAGCCGUCGAAGGCAGGUCUGAUAACUGGGGUGAAGUCGUAACAAGGUAUC
rnacentral:rRNA from 1 species